UUAGCAGAAGCUUUAUAAGCAUCUUAUUGUUACUAAGAAGUAAGAAUAAAUUAUUAUUCCUGUUAAG
rnacentral:tRNA from 1 species